rnacentral:rRNA from 1 species
GACGAACGCUGGCGGCGUGCUUAACACAUGCAAGUCGAACGAAGUGGCGAACGGGUGAGUAACGCGUAAUAAACCUGCCCUUCAGAGGGGGACAACAGUUGGAACCGACUGCUAAUACCGCAUACUGAAGGAGGGGCUUGCGUCUGAUUAGCUAGUUGGCGGGGUACCGGCCCACUAAGGCGAUGAUCAGUAGCCGGUCUGAGAGGAUGGACGGCAACAUUGGGACUGAGACACGGCCCAGACUCCUACGGGAGGCAGCAGUGGGGAAUCUUCCGCAAGGGACGAAAGUCUGACGGAGCAACGCCGCGUGAGUGAUGACGGCCUUCGGGUUGUAAAGCUCUGUUAAGCGGGACGCGGUACCGGAAUAGAAAGCCACGGCUAACUACGUGCCAGCAGCCGCGGUAAUUC